rnacentral:rRNA from 1 species
UGGGGAAUUUUGGACAAUGGGCGCAAGCCUGAUCCAGCAAUGCCGCGUGCAGGAUGAAGGCCUUCGGGUUGUAAACUUCUUUUGUACGGAGCGAAAAGGUCUGCCCUAAUACGGUGGGCUCAUGACGGUACCGUAAGAAUAAGCACCGGCUAACUACGUGCCAGCAGCCGCGGUAAUACGUAGGGUGCGAGCGUUAAUCGGAAUUACUGGGCGUAAAGCGUGCGCAGGCGGUUAUAUAAGGCAGAUGUGAAAUCCCCGGGCUCAACCUGGGACCUGCAUUUGUGACUGUAUAGCUAGAGUACGGUAGAGGGGGAUGGAAUUCCGCGUGUAGCAGUGAAAUGCGUAGAUAUGCGGAGGAACACCGAUGGCGAAGGCAAUCCCCUGGACCUGUACUGGCGCUCAUGAACGAAAGCGUGGGGAGCAAACA